AGCGUUGUUCGGAAUUACUGGGCGUAAAGCGCACGUAGGCGGCUUUGUAAGUUAGAGGUGAAAGCCCGGGGCUCAACCCCGGAACUGCCUUUGAUACUGGGUAUCUCGAGUCCGGAAGAGGUGAGUGGAAUUCCGAGUGUAG
rnacentral:rRNA from 1 species